rnacentral:rRNA from 1 species
UACGGAGGAUGCGAGCGUUAUCCGGAUUUAUUGGGUUUAAAGGGUGCGUAGGCGGGAUGCCAAGUCAGCGGUAAAAAUGCGGUGCUCAACGCCGUCGAGCCGUUGAAACUGGCGUUCUUGAGUGGGCGAGAAGUAUGCGGAAUGCGUGGUGUAGCGGUGAAAUGCAUAGAUAUCACGCAGAACUCCGAUUGCGAAGGCAGCAUACCGGCGCCCUACUGACGCUGAUGUGCGAAAGCGUGGGGAUCAAACAGG